AUGGCCGCAGGUGCUGCCGUUCCGGUCAUCUCCGCCGGAGAAGAUCUCCCCGCUGACCAGACCUCCGCCUCGUCCGAGCCCCCUUCCCUCUUCGACGGCACCACCAGGCUGUACGUGGCGUACCACUGCCCAUACGCGCAGCGCGUCUGGAUCGCCAGGAACUGCAAGGGCUUGCAGGGCAAGAUCAAGAUAGUCGCGCUAGAUCUCGUGGACAGGCCAGCCUGGUACAAGGACAAGGUCUACCCAGAGAACAAGGUACCUGCCCUGGAGCUCAACAAGCAAGUGAAAGGAGAGAGCCUGAAUCUGCUCAAGUACAUCGACGACAAUUUCGAUGGCCCAGAGUUGCUCCCUCAUGAUUCUGCAAAGAAGAUGUUUGCCGAGGAACUGCUUGCGUACAGCGACAGUUUCAACGCCAGUGCUUUCUUUUCAUGCCUACGCUCCAUGGGAGAUGUGACCGACGAAGCUGUUGCCGCUGUUGAUAAAAUAGAAGCUGCCCUAGGGAAGUUCAGCGAUGGCCCAUUCUUCCUUGGCCAGUUCAGUCUGGUUGACAUUGCAUAUGUGCCAUUCAUCGAAAGGCUUCAGAUAUCCUAUUCUGGCAUCAAGAACUACGAUAUCGUUGGGGGCAGACCCAACCUUGGCAGAUUCAUCGAGGAAGUCAACAAGAUCAACGCAUAUACACAAACCAAACUGGACACACAAGUUACACUUGACAUAAUAAAAGAGAAGUUCGGAGUUCCUUAA
rnacentral:rRNA from 1 species